CCUUGGGAGACAACUCCAUCCAGUUCUUUAUGCGCAGCAUUCUGAUCAAAUUUAAAAUUGUUUUCUCAUGAAACCAUCAAAUAACAUUAAAAAAAGUAUUUAUAAAUAACAAAUAAAUAAACUUUUAUACUUACUACUUUUCUUUCUGAAUCAAAAUCAACAAAUUCUCCAGUUUUUUUCUUAUGCGUAAUCUCCCAAAACCUUAGUCUAUCCGGUUCGUUUCCAUAUUCCUUUUUCUACAAAAUUAACCGCAAAAAUGUUAAAUUAUCACCCAACAAAAACUACAAAAUAUAAAUUUCAGCAAAAAGGACCAUUAAAUAACAAAGAGCUAUUGGUUUAUAGCAUUGGGACCAUUAAUU
rnacentral:lncRNA from 1 species